rnacentral:rRNA from 1 species
GCGGAGGAAAAGAAACUAACAAGGAUUCCCCUAGUAACGGCGAGUGAACCGGGAAAAGCUCAAAUUUGAAAUCUGGCGUCCUCAGGGCGUCCGAGUUGUAAUCUAUAGAGGCGUUUUCCGUGCCGGACCGUGUCCAAGUCCCUUGGAACAGGGUAUCAAAGAGGGUGACAAUCCCGUACUUGACACGACUACCGGUGCUCUGUGAUACGUCUUCUACGAGUCGAGUUGUUUGGGAAUGCAGCUCAAAAUGGGUGGUGAGUUCCAUCUAAAGCUAAAUAUUGGCGAGAGACCGAUAGCGAACAAGUACCGUGAGGGAAAGAUGAAAAGCACUUUGGAAAGAGAGUUAAACAGUACGUGAAAUUGUUGAAAGGGAAACGAUUGAAGUCAGUCGUGACCGAGAGGCUCAGCCGGCUCUGCCGGUGUAUUCCCCUCGGUCGGGUCAACAUCAGUUUUGUCCGGUGGAUAAGGGCGGUAGGAAGGUGGCACCCACGGGUGUGUUAUAGCCUGCCGUCGCAUACACUGGGUGAGACUGAGGAAUGCAGCUCGCCUUUAUGGCCGGGGUUCGCCCACGUCCGAGCUUAGGAUGUUGACAUAAUGGCUUUAAACGACCCGUC